AAUAAAUUUGUUUCUAUAGAAAAUUAUUUAAUGAGGACAAUAUCGAUAUCUUUUCUGUAACAAAAUGUUUCAACUAAAAAUAAUAGUGACUUGUUCAAUGUAUAUUUAUAGGUAUAGUUUAAAAAUCAAUAAAUUUGAGAUAAAGUAUCAUGGAUAUAGGAGUGACAGAAAGAUUAUUAAAAAUUGCGAUACGCGAAAGCGAUGGCUAGUUUAUCGUGGAUCAACAGUUCGCUGCGAUAAUAACUCGAUCAUCCCACGUACGUAUGUAUAUCUUGAUACAACUAUACGUGUUCUCUUGAAAUACACGCUUAUCUAGUUUUCUCUUGCACCUUUUCGAUUCAAACGUCAUACACUUUUCUGCACUGCUAACAAAAGUUUCAAAUGUUGAUCAAAUUCCAAUUCGAAACAACACUGUAUUUAUAAUUAAAUUAAGGAUAAUAUCAAAACGAGGAAUAUUAUCGAAGAACGAUGAGGAAUGUGGCACAUAACAUACGAAAAAAAAGUUAUUUCUUCCGAUGAUAAUUAACGAUUGUAAAGAUUAAUAAAAAAGUGUUAUUUAAUAAAAUUUGAAACAAAAUUAUAAUUUCAUACGAAAUAAUGAACCAAUUCGAACUGAUGAAAAGAUUUCGUUUGAAUUAACGCAAAAAAAAAGAAGAGAAGAAAAAAAAAAGAUUUAUCGACGAUAGUUAAUGGCUCCACUCCAAAUAAGAACACGCACUAAAGGAUUCACACAGAACGCAUAUCCCGAGAUAUCCCGAGUGAUCAUCCCGAGGAGGAAUUCAGGAAGUAUAUGCGUAAGAGAACUGGCACUCGGUCGCGACGAUCUUGGUGGGGUGGAUGCAAAGACGGUGUAGCAACAUUGGAGUAGUCAGAACGGGGUGAAGGGGAGUCAAGAAAAGGGGGAAGUUCGAACGAAAGUUAAGUAUAUUUCAGGAGCUCGACCCUAUAUAUGUAUAUGUAUAUAUGUGUAUGUGUAUGUUUAUAUAUACAGGGACCUUUCUACCUAUCAACAGCAACGUGAAACACGAGGAAGUUCGGGACGACGAGAAACUCACUAAAAAUACGUACGAUCGUUGGCGCUUGACUACUGCGUUCAACAAAACACUUACUCCUUCAUUGUUUCAUACCGAAGACAAGACUAAUAGUGGGGAUACUAAUUGGAAUCAUUCUAAUCAAACUUAAAAAAAAAAGAAAAAAAAAUUGAAGGUAAAUAAAAAUCAACAAUUUUUCGA